CACGUAGGGGGCGAGCGUUGUCCGGAUUUAUUGGGCGUAAAGAGCUCGUAGGCGGCUCAGUAAGUCAGGUGUGAAAACUCCAGGCUCAACCUGGAGACGCCACCUGAUACUGCUGUGGCUAGAGUCCGGUAGGGGAGCAUGGAAUUCCUGGUGUAGCGGUGAAAUGCGCAGAUAUCAGGAGGAACACCAGUGGCGGAAGGCGGUGCUCUGGGCCGGAACUGACGCUGAGGAGCGAAAGCAUGGGGAGCGAACAGG
rnacentral:rRNA from 1 species